CAUGUCUUUUUGAUAAUAAUUUCAAGUCUGAUCUGCUCAAUGAUGAAUUAAAUUGCCGCAGUAUUUUGACUGUGCAAAGGUAGCAUAAUAAUUAGUUUCUUAAUUAGGAGCUUGAAUGAAGGAUUGGACAAGAGGUUUACUGUCUCUUUCUAAUUAUUAUAUAAUUUUAUUUUUAAGUUAAAAAGCUUAAAUUUUUUUAAAAGACGAGAAGACCCUGUAGAGUUUAAUAUAUUUAAUUUAUUAAUUUAUUAGAAGUUUUAAUAAACUAAUAUAUUUAAUUGGGGUGAUUAAAAGAUUUAAAUAAUUCUUUUAUGAUUUAAUUGAUGAUUAUUAAAUUUUAAGUCUUAAAUUAUGAAGAUUAAAAUAAAUUACCUUAGGGAUAACAGCGUAAUUUUUCUAUAAAGUUCUUAUUAAAAGAAGAGUUUGCGACCUCGAUGUUGGAUUAAAAUUAAUUUUUGGUGAAGAAGCUAAAAAAUUAGGUCUGUUCGACCUUUAAAAUUUUACAUGAUCUGAGUUUAAACCGGUGUGAGCCAGGUUGGAUUCUAUCUUUAAUUUUAUAGAGUAUUUUAGUACGAAAGGACCAAAUAUUUGUUAAAUAUUAAUUA
rnacentral:rRNA from 1 species